CACGGGUUGGCCGGAGCCCCUCAGUGGCUCAACUUGGAGCGGGGCGGGGGCAGGGCCCGGACCUCAGACCCCGGACUUGUUUUGUUUGGAACCCUGAAUGGUCCUUGGGCUUCGGUUGCCAUGGAAACUCGCAUUCAAAGGACAGAGGCCGCUUUUACCGACUUCUCAGAGACAAGCCAAGAAGGUCCUCAACCGGUGUGCACACCCACGCACACACACACGCUCUCGAAUGUGCCUUUGGAAUGAGAGGAAGAGGUUUCACCAACACUCAGAUUAGACUGGCUGGUGACAAAGAGACCGAGGCUAUCAUGGGACACAAACCUUCAACAAGUGUGAAACCCAAAUACCCCAAAGGAAUAGCUGUCGACUAAUGGGAUUUAUAAGUGUCCCCAGGGCCUCCACACGCCUUCCACGGCCAGCGACUCAUCAGAGCUUCCUGAAAUGCAAACCUCUCCUGGGUGCCCAGCUGAGGCCAGCAGAGUCCAAGCAGGACCACCUUGGCUCCUCCUUCCCAGUCGCCACGCAGCAGGUGUCCCAAAGCACUCAUAGCCCACUCUCCAAGAGCCCAGUGCCUGGUCCGACUUGCCUACGGACAAGGACUGGGAGGUGUGGUUGUGACCCUCCCACCACCUAGGAAGGGCCCGCCCGGAAGUGUGGAGACUGGGUUUGCUGCUAGAAGACCAUCACCAACCAUUUUCGAAUAGGCCAGAGUCUCUCAGUGGACCUCAGCCUGCAUCCUGAAUGGGCCUGUCUGGGGGAGGUUUGUGUAAAUUGGGCCCCAUUUUCCAGCUGACUGGAGCGCCUUCCUGAUGCCCCACUGACAACAGCUCUUACGCUGCAGCUCCACUUCCG
ensembl:lncRNA